CAUUAGAUGGCUGAAAGUAAGUCCUGGUCUCUUAAACCAUUAAAUAAUAAAAUAACGAUUAUUUCUAAUGAAAUAAAAAAAUUAGUUAAAAUAAUAUAACAUUAGUUUGUCAA
rnacentral:tRNA from 1 species